rnacentral:rRNA from 1 species
GAUGAACGCUGGCGGCGUGCUUAACACAUGCAAGUCGAACGAUGAAGCCCAGCUUGCUGGGUGGAUUAGUGGCGAACGGGUGAGUAACACGUGAGUAACCUGCCCUUAACUCUGGGAUAAGCCUGGGAAACUGGGUCUAAUACCGGAUAGGAGCGUCCACCGCAUGGUGGGUGUUGGAAAGAUUUAUCGGUUUUGGAUGGACUCGCGGCCUAUCAGCUUGUUGGUGAGGUAAUGGCUCACCAAGGCGACGACGGGUAGCCGGCCUGAGAGGGUGACCGGCCACACUGGGACUGAGACGCGGCCCAGACUCCGACGGGAGGCAGCAGUGGGGAAUAUUGCACAAUGGGCGCAAGCCUGAUGCAGCGACGCCGCGUGAGGGAUGACGGCCUUCGGGUUGUAAACCUCUUUCAGUAGGGAAGAAGCGAAAGUGACGGUACCUGCAGAAGAAGCACCGGCUAACUACGU